UACGUAGGGUGCGAGCGUUGUCCGGAAUUAUUGGGCGUAAAGAGCUCGUAGGCGGCUUGUCGCGUCGGAUGUGAAAGCCCGGGGCUUAACUCCGGGUCUGCAUUCGAUACGGGCAGGCUAGAGUUCGGUAGGGGAGAUCGGAAUUCCUGGUGUAGCGGUGGAAAUGCGCAGAUAUCAGGAGGAACACCGGUGGCGAAGGCGGAUCUCUGGGCCGAUACUGACGCUGAGGAGCGAAAGCGUGGGGAGCGAACAGG
rnacentral:rRNA from 1 species